rnacentral:rRNA from 1 species
CUGGACGGCCAUAGGAGCCGGGUUCCACCCAGACUCAUUCGAACCUGGCAGUUAAACCGGCUUCCGUAGCAACGUGUACUCCGUUUCGGGGGAAACUCGCUAAGCUGUCCACC